GACGAACCGUGCGAACGUUGUUCGGAAUCACUGGGCUUAAAGGGCGCGUAGGCGGACCGCCAAGUCCGAGGUGAAAUCCUCCAGCUUAACUGGAGAACUGCCUCGGAUACUGGAGGUCUCGAGGGAGGUAGGGGCAAGCGGAACUGUGGGUGGAGCGGUGAAAUGCGUUGAUAUCCACAGGAACUCCGGUGGCGAAGGCGGCUUGCUGGACCUUUUCUGACGCUGAGGCGCGAAAGCCAGGGGAGCAAACGGG
rnacentral:rRNA from 1 species